AACGAACGCUGGCGGCAUGCCUAACACAUGCAAGUCGAACGAGACCUUCGGGUCUAGUGGCGCACGGGUGCGUGACGUGUGGGAACCUGCCCUUAGGUUCGGAAUAACUCCCCGAAAGGGGUGCUAAUACCGGAUAAUGUCUUCGGACCAAAGAUUUAUCGCCUUUGGAUGGGCCCGCGUUGGAUUAGCUAGUUGGUAGGGUAAAAGCCUACCAAGGCGACGAUCCAUAGCUGGUCUGAGAGGAUGAUCAGCCACACUGGGACUGAGACACGGCCCAGACUCCUACGGGAGGCAGCAGUGGGGAAUAUUGGACAAUGGGCGAAAGCCUGAUCCAGCAAUGCCGCGUGAGUGAUGAAGGCCUUAGGGUUGUAAAGCUCUUUUACCCGGGAUGAUAAUGACAGUACCGGGAGAAUAAGCUCCGGCUAACUCCGUG
rnacentral:rRNA from 1 species